AAUGAACGUUGGCGGCGUGGAUGAGGCAUGCAAGUCGAGCGAGAACCGGUUUCGGCCGGGGACAGCGGCGAACGGCGUAGUAAUGCAUCGGAACGUACCCUCUGGUCGGGGAUAGCUACGGGAAACUGUAGGUAAUACCCGAUGAUCUCUGCGGAGCAAAGGUGAGAUUCCGCCGGAGGAGCGGCUGAUGUGAUAUUAGCUAGUUGGUGGGGUAAUGGCCUACCAAGGCGAUGAUGUCUAGGGGGUGUGAGAGCGUGGCCCCCACGACCGGAACUGAGAUACUGUCCGGACACCUACGGGUGGCUGCAGUCGAGAAUCUUCCGCAAUGGACGAAAGUCUGACGGAGCGACGCCGCGUGCGGGAUGAAGGCCCUUGGGUUGUAAACCGCUGUCAGAGGGGAUGAAAUCUUCGGAGGUACUCCUCCGAAGUUGACAGAGCCUCAAAGGAAGCACGGGCUAAGUACGUGCCAGCCGCCGCGGUAACAC
rnacentral:rRNA from 1 species